rnacentral:rRNA from 1 species
AUUGAACGCUGGCGGAAUGCUUUACACAUGCAAGUCGAACGGCAGCACGGACUUCGGUCUGGUGGCGAGUGGCGAACGGGUGAGUAAUGUAUCGGAACGUGCCCAGUCGUGGGGGAUAACGUAGUGAAAAUUACGCUAAUACCGCAUACGAUCUAUGGAUGAGAGCGGGGGAUCGCAAGACCUCGCGCGAUUGGAGCGGCCGAUAUCAGAUUAGGUAGUUGGUGGGGUAAAGGCCCACCAAGCCAACGAUCUGUAGCUGGUCUGAGAGGACGACCAGCCACACUGGAGCUGCGACACAGUCCAGACUCCUACGGAAGGCAGCAGUGGGGAAUUUUGGACAAUGAGCGAAAGCCUGAUCCAGCCAUUCCGCGUGCAGGAUGAAGGCCCUCGGGUUGUAAACUGCUUUUGUACAGAACGAAAAGGUUUCUACUAAUACUAGGAGCUCAUGACGGUACUGUAAGAAUAAGCACCGGCUAACUACGUGCCAGCAGCCGCAGUAA